GGGGGUAGUUUUAGUACGUAGGCGUCGUUGAUGGCGAAUCGUGCACGCUGCUCGACGUUCGCGUGCACGCUGAACGUCUCUCUUGAAGAUUUUCUACCUCC
rfam:Glossina morsitans morsitans, isolate Yale, WGS project CCAG01000000 data, contig: ctg10011080